rnacentral:rRNA from 1 species
CGGCGGACGGGUUAGUAACGCGUGGGAAUAUGCCCUUUGGUACGGAAUAGCCUCUGGAAACGGAGAGUAAUACCGUAUGAGCCCUUCGGGGGAAAGAUUUAUCGCCAAAGGAUUAGCCCGCGUUAGAUUAGGUAGUUGGUGGGGUAAUGGCCUACCAAGCCUACGAUCUAUAGCUGGUUUUAGAGGAUGAUCAGCAACACUGGGACUGAGACACGGCCCAGACUCCUACGAGAGGCGGCAGUGGGGAAUCUUGGACAAUGGGGGCAACCCUGAUCCAGCCAUGCCGCGUGAGUGAUGAAGGCCUUAGGGUCGUAAAGCUCUUUCGCCUGUGAAGAUAAUGACGGUAGCAGGUAAAGAAACCCCGGCUAACUCCGUGCCAGCAGCCGCGGUAAUACGGAGGGGGUUAGCGUUGUUCGGAAUUACUGGGCGUAAAGCGCACGUAGGCGGAUCGGAAAGUUGGGGGUGAAAUCCCGGGGCUCAACCCCGGAACUGCCUCCAAAACUAUCGGUCUAGAGUUCGAGAGAGGUGAGUGGAAUUCCAAGUGUAGAGGUGAAAUUCGUAGAUAUUUGGAGGAACACCAGUGGCGAAGGCGGCUCACUGGCUCGAUACUGACGCUGAGGUGCGAAAGUGUGGGGAGCAAACAGGAUUAGAUACCCUGGUAGUCCACACCGUAAACGAUGAAUGCCAGUCGUCGGGUAGCAUGCUAUUCGGUGACACACCUAACGGAUUAAGCAUUCCGCCUGGGGAGUACGGUCGCAAGAUUAAAACUCAAAGAAAUUGACGGGGGCCCGCACAAGCGGUGGAGCAUGUGGUUUAAUUCGAAGCAACGCGCAGAACCUUACCAACCCUUGACAUCCCGGGACCGGUCCAGAGAUGGAUCUUUCACUUCGGUGACUCGGUGACAGGUGCUGCAUGGCUGUCGUCAGCUCGUGUCGUGA